UACAGAGGGGGCAAGCGUUGUUCGGAAUUACUGGGCGUAAAGGGCGCGUAGGCGGCCUGUUAAGUCGAACGUGAAAUCCCCGGGCUCAACCCGGGAACUGCGUCCGAGACUGGCAGGCUCGAAUCCGGGAGAGGGAUGUGGAAUUCCAGGUGUAGCGGUGAAAUGCGUAGAUAUCGGGAGGAACACCUGUGGCGAAAGCGGCUCUCUGGACCACAACUGACGCUGAGGCGCGAAAGCUAGGGGAGCAAACAGGG
rnacentral:rRNA from 1 species